AACAGCUUCCUAUUCAAAGAGUUGAGUAUAUCUAUCAUAGGCUUCAUCAUCUUUGUUAUGGUCAUUGCAACGUUCUUGAUAAUUUUGGACAACAACAUGUAAAGUUCAACAAUUGGAUUUUUUUUAAUAGAACCAUUGUCUUCUUUCAUUUCAUUAUUUGGUCUUGGUUGAUUCUCUUUCUCUGUUGGUUUUCUUCUUCUUCUUUUUUUGAUGGUUUGAGUUUGACUUUCUCAGGACUCCUUAAAGGAGCGGUUAAGGCAGAUUUCAUCUUCAUUGUGGAUGAACGUUCCUGUACUUCUGCUUCAUCGAUAACUCACCCUGCUGAAGUGUGGAACAAGCAUUGAGUGCUUUUCACCCUCAUGUAAGCUCUUUGACAAGUAUGACUCAGCAACUACAGGAAGAAAAUCUUUCAUCUGAAUCUCAGCAUCCGUAAAUGUGGUUUGGCUAUCAAGAUGAACUGUAGCCUUUGAAGUAAGUGAGGAAUCUUGAAGAAAAUACAGCAAAGGCUUCUUGAUGUUGAAUUUGUCGUUAGGGUAUAAAAGAGAUGACGAGUCUGAUGAGAAUGAUUGUUGAGGUUCAUUAAUGGCUGACAACUGCAACUUCAUCAAGUCUAAUAACAAGGAUAUAUUUGCACCAUCUGUACGCGGCUCAGCAGUUCCUGAUUUUAGGAGGUUUGAAACUGUAUCAUGCUUAGUGCAUUUCUCAACAAUGCCAAAACCUAAAAGUACUGCAUUUGAGCAGGAUUCUUGUGCAUCAAUUGAUACCAGCCAUUGAGCAGAGGAAUCAACAUUGACGAGCUGACUUUCAUCAAACCAUUUAUUUUGCUGUUAACUUGUUGAACUUUGAGCUGAUGGACACUUUUUGCAGGCAUUUGUUCAAGUUACGGGUGGUAUACUCUUUACCCAAGUGAGUUUGCAUUGCAGGAGGUCCAAGUGAUGGAAGCGGUAACUUCUUGGUCUCUAACUACCCUUCAUGUGCAUUGCAGGGUCGGUGAGUUUAUGCAGAAACGCUGCAUUUGACGUUGUGCAAAUUUCUUAGAACAUGGCAUAUUCUAUUGAGCUGUCAUAUGCAUGAUAGAUUUACAUCUUCGGUUGGUCCUUUGCAGGUCACGCACACAUGGACAGAAUUAGCAUGAAAGCUCCCACUUGCAACUGCUGAAUUGCCUUGGAAUGAAUGAAGAGAAAGACUAAGAUCCUGUGUCGAGCUGUUUGUUCUUGAGAUCACAAGAAAAGUGGCUUUGAAAAUUCAUCGAAUUGCCAACAAAACUCGUCGGAAAAACGUGAAAGCAUCAUUGUCAAUACUUGAUUGAAUGAAAUCUGAAUGAUUAUAGUUCUGCUGCAAAUUGUAACAAGAAGAUUAUGAAUUUUCCGCCGCGAUAACCAUUUUAAUUGUCUUUGUAAACCAUUAUUGUUAUCCUCCUUGAACUUGAAUCAUUUCUCCACCAGUAC
rnacentral:lncRNA from 1 species